rnacentral:rRNA from 1 species
AUUGAACGCUGGCGGCAUGCUUUACACAUGCAAGUCGAACGGCAGCACGGGUGCUUGCACCUGGUGGCGAGUGGCGAACGGGUGAGUAAUGCAUCGGAACGUGCCCAUGAGUGGGGGAUAGCCCGGCGAAAGCCGGAUUGAUACCGCAUACGCCCUUAGGGGGAAAGCGGGGGAUCUUCGGACCUCGCGCUAUUGGAGCGGCCGAUGUCGGAUUAGCUAGUAGGUGAGGUAAAGGCUCACCUAGGCGACGAUCCGUAGCUGGUCUGAGAGGAUGAUCAGCCACACUGGGACUGAGACACGGCCCAGACUCCUACGGGAGGCAGCAGUGGGGAAUUUUGGACAAUGGGCGCAAGCCUGAUCCAGCCAUGCCGCGUGAGUGAAGAAGGCCUCGGUU